CAUACAAACCAAUAGGGUGUCGGAAUGGUUUAUGUUUAUACUUCUCAUCCAAUCACAAUCAAAUUCACUCUAUCCGGAUGGCAUGAUUUAUCUGGAUAGGUUUUUUGUGUGUGUGUGU